CCGUCUCGCCCACCCACGCGCGGCUUGCGCAAUCGCGUGCGCCCAUGCCCUCCCCCUCUCCUCGCACACGUCGCCGCCGCCGUAAUCGCAUCUGCCCAUGGCGACCCCGGUCUCCUCCGCGAUGGAACUUCCCACUCGGAGGAGAGGGGUGCAAGCCGCUGCCGCCUCUUCUCCUCUUUUAUCUCUGCCUCGCCACCGCCUCCCCGCUUCUUCCCUCACGUGUGCUGCCGCCGUAAUCUCGCCCUCCUAACCGUCAACGGAGCGCUUCCGCCACUGCCGCUCUUUCCAAUCAAGCCACCGCAUCUGCAAUCGAAGAUCCAUCCGCCUGGAGAAGAAGAACAUGAGCCGCCACCAUCCUCAUCUGCCCGUGAGGACGGUUGCAUCUUGGUGAGGACGGGGGCAAGGCACUGGCACGCGAAUCCCCCAACGACGCCCUCCACCUUUUUUUUUCCUCUGUGGCAGUGCGCUCCCUCCCCCUCGCAUCAAACAUUUUCUUUUUCUGCAGCAAAGUACUCCCUCCGUCCAAAAAAAAAAAAGGCAAACCCUGGGUUUCCGUGUCCAAUUUUGACUGUUCGUCUUAUAUGAAAUUUUUUUAUAAUUCGUAUUUUUAUUGUUGUUAGAUGAUAAAACAUGAUUAAUAUUUUAUGUGUGACUUGUCUUUUUAAUUUUUUUCAUAAUUUUUUCAAAUAAGACGAACGGUCAAACGUUAGACACGGAAACCAGGGGUUGUCUUUUUUUUGGGACGGAGGGAGUAUGCAUGCUAGAUCUCAUCACAUUUACAUCAGGUAAUUUUCCCCAUGUAAUUUUCUCUCUCAUCUGGCUGGAUUUAAUUUUUUGGUUCGAUCCCCGUAUUUUUCUUGCAGCAGUGGAAGCAAGCUAUCUAAUGGCAAUAGAUCUGCUGGUACUCCACUACAUAGGUUGCUUGGAUCUUAUUUCUACCAGAUGCAGUUGGAGUUAGCACAUAUAUCUUAAUCCACUCAGGAAACUUCUCCCAACCCUGGUGAGUUUUCCCCAAAUCAACCCCUUAAAUUUUGAAGUCUGUAGUUGAGUGCAUAUAUCCAUUUACAUUUUGCUGGCUGGAAUGCCCUCUUGAUGUUUUGAUAUGGGGAAAAAGUUUACAGAUGGAGAAGAAUGAGCUACUUAGGAGCCCAUACGAAUGUGCUGUUCUCCAAGAGGCAUGUGUGGCGCAAAUGCAGCCUUCGACAGAGUGCCCACAGCAAGCUCUGUUAAACUGCUUUGCUUGGCCAUCCAUCCGAUUGCUACCAGCCCAUGUAUACGAUGGAGUAUUUCACAUGAUAACAAGCUAUAUUAUUAUCUCAGUACAUCUUAUUUCACUCCACAUGAUUAUUAAAUGUUUAGCUUCUAUAUAUUCAAGGUCGCUUGCCUACAUCAAACCUUUGAUUCAAGGUAAAACCCUUUAAGUUCUCCAAAUAUUGUUUAUUGAGUCUAAUGUGAAUUAUUUUCUUUACUAAUUUGCCUCUGCAGCCAUGUUGUCAGAGAUGAGCAUACCUUAGGUAGCUAAAUCCUACUGUUCUCGAGAGCAAUUCUUACCUGAAUUAGCUCCGCAAACCAAUUGUUCUUGCUGCUAUAAAAUUUGCUCCAUGUUAGAGCUUCCUUUUGUUUUUGCAACCCAAUUAUUCUCGCUGCUAGAAGAUUUGCUCCACGUUAGAGCAAACCAAUUGUUUUUGCAUGCCCAAAUUACAAGUGUGAAGCAAGUUGUGUUCAGUUUUUUCUUCUUACUCAUGCGGGAAAGUCUAGAUGUGCUUCUUCGUUCUCUGCUCGGUAGUCUAUAUAGAUCAGUUUUACCUGUUUACACAUGAGUACUUGCAGUAUUAAGUUGAAUCGUUCACAUGGACUCCCCAUGUUCUCCUCUUUAUAUGGCGCACAUAUUCUGUCACCGGAAUAACCUAUUAUCUAAACAUACAAGUUAUGUAUUCAACUGUAAUAGCAAUUAUUCAGCUUUUUACUUUUUCAGGAGGAGUUUACCGAAAUUGUUCUUUGAUAAUAUAACAUGCCAGGACUAUUUUGCAAUUUCCACAGAGAGGAUUACACAUUUAGUACCAUGAAUCUUGAUCUAGAUAUUAUGAAUAAGCCAAAAGUUCUCUAGACCUCAUGGGUCAUGGCCUCCUAGGUCGUGCUUUCUAUAAAUUAAAACUUAUACGUAAGUUUACAAACCAUUAAGAAAUUGUUAUUCUCAAAUUAUGACGGGAUUGUCAUAUUGUUCAGUUCAUGAACUGUAUAAUACAUCUUAUUGCAUAGAAAGUCUAACUUUAAUCUUUACAUCCAACUCUAGGAGAUAAAUUUAUCAUGUUUGUGAAAAUAUGUUAAGGUCCAGCAAUAUAUCUAAUUCAUCAUUAGUAAAACUUAAAACAUAUUAUCUAAUUAAGAGUUAUUGGAUUAGGUUUUUCUUGGGUUGCAUUGCAAGACCUAUUAGCUGAGGAAUAGUUUCAUUUUCAGUAUUGGAUCAUCAAUAGUUUGGUAAUAUUUGAUUAGUAGAAUGUGGUUUUUUGCUGCCCCUUGAAUGCUACUAGAAUAAUUAGUACACUUUUAUUCAACUCAUUCUUUGUGGUUUACAUGAGAACUUUUUAGUUAACUCAUUUUGCUUUAUACUAAUAUAGAUCCUAUCAAAUCUUUAUUAUGACAUCUCAUGUGGUCAUUUUGAACUUCUAUUACGGACAUUAUCUUCGUUGACCAAUUUUCAUGGAUUGCUUCCUUAUGUUGUAGGUGGUGUUCAAAAUCAGCAGAUGGUUCAUCUCUACUACUUGCAGUCUGAUUCUACAGUAUUUCCCUAACCAUAGCUACCAAUAAUUUUUAUGAAAAAAAUCCCAUUUCAAGUAUACCUCAAAUCUCAAAUUGCAUAUGACCAGUGUUAAUGAUUUGUUAUAUUGACUCUUAAGUCGAUUUUGACACAUCUUGAAUUUAAUUAAUCCAAACAAAUAGAUUUAUCUUUACAUUUAUGCUUUGUCAGGAAUUGGUGGGCAUCUGGACUCCAGAUAUUACACUGAUAUCUCCGUGUUCUUCCGCGAAGCAAGAGAAAUCUGCAGUAUAUCUGAAUUGUUAAGCUAUGCAAAAUUAUUUAUAUGUACAUGAAAGAUGCAAUUUUCAAUUUAUUUAGUUUUUAUAUAACGUGGUCAGUUUAUAGCACAGUUCUUAGAUUGAUGCAUUAUCUUUUAGGUUGCAGUAACAUAUAAAGGCCUGCUUGGCCAUGAAUCAUGUAUGCAUUUUGUACAUUUGCAGUGAGAUUUUGACUAUGCACUGCUCUUUACACAUAAAAGUGCAAGAGAAUACUUAUUAUGCAUUGUUAUAGUUAAUACAAUCAUCAUCGCACGCAGCGUAGCGCGUGUUUCUUUCUA